GAGGGUAUAGCUCAAGUGGUAGAGGGCAUGCUUGGCAUGCGUGGGGUCCUGGGUUCAAUUCCCAGUACUUCCU
rnacentral:tRNA from 1 species